AGUGAACGCUGGCGGCAGGCCUAACACAUGCAAGUCGAACGGCAGCACAGCAGUAGCAAUACUGUGGGUGGCGAGUGGCGGACGGGUGAGGAAUGCAUCGGAAUCUGCCUAUUUGUGGGGGAUAACGUAGGGAAACUUACGCUAAUACCGCAUACGACCUACGGGUGAAAGUGGGGGACCGCAAGGCCUCACGCAGAUAGAUGAGCCGAUGCCGGAUUAGCUAGUUGGCGGGGUAAAGGCCCACCAAGGCGACGAUCCGUAGCUGGUCUGAGAGGAUGAUCAGCCACAAUGGAACUGAGACACGGUCCAGACUCCUACGGGAGGCAGCAGUGGGGAAUAUUGGACAAUGGGCGCAAGCCUGAUCCAGCCAUGCCGCGUGAGUGAAGAAGGCCUUCGGGUUGUAAAGCUCUUUUGUCCGGAAAGAAAAGCUUCGGGUUAAUAACCCGGGGUCAUGACGGUACCGGAAGAAUAAGCACCGGCUAACUUCGUGCCAGCCGCCGCAGUAACAC
rnacentral:rRNA from 1 species